rnacentral:snoRNA from 1 species
ACCCUUGUGUUUUUGAUGAACUGGUGAACAAACACAUAAAAGACAGGUAAGCAAAAUCCAAUUUUGCAACCAAAACUCAUGGUUCAGCAUGAGUUUUUUUAACAGAUAAGGAGGAAUAUG